GAGUAAUGUCUGGGAAACUGCCCGAUGGAGGGGGAUAACUACUGGAAACGGUAGCUAAUACCGCAUAACGUCGCAAGACCAAAGUGGGGGACCUUCGGGCCUCACACCAUCGGAUGUGCCCAGAUGGGAUUAGCUAGUAGGUGGGGUAAUGGCUCACCUAGGCGACGAUCCCUAGCUGGUCUGAGAGGAUGACCAGCCACACUGGAACUGAGACACGGUCCAGACUCCUACGGGAGGCAGCAGUGGGGAAUAUUGCACAAUGGGCGCAAGCCUGAUGCAGCCAUGCCGCGUGUAUGAAGAAGGCCUUCGGGUUGUAAAGUACUUUCAGCGGGGAGGAAGGCGGUGAAGUUAAUAGCUUCACCGAUUGACGUUACCCGCAGAAGAAGCACCGGCUAACUCCGUGCCAGCAGCCGCGGUAAUACGGAGGGUGCAAGCGUUAAUCGGAAUUACUGGGCGUAAAGCGCACGCAGGCGGUCUGUCAAGUCGGAUGUGAAAUCCCCGGGCUUAACCUGGGAACUGCAUUCGAAACUGGCAGGCUAGAGUCUUGUAGAGGGGGGUAGAAUUCCAGGUGUAGCGGUGAAAUGCGUAGAGAUCUGGAGGAAUACCGGUGGCGAAGGCGGCCCCCUGGACAAAGACUGACGCUCAG
rnacentral:rRNA from 1 species